rnacentral:misc_RNA from 1 species
CCUCCAUCUCACAUCAAUAUCAUUAAUGGUUUCCAAACCUUUCUCCUCAUUCUUCUUCUUUAUAACAUUCAAAAGAGAGAUUGGGAGUUUUUCAGAUUCCCGGACUAGCAACUUCUGCAAAGUAGAAUGGAUCCUACCACAAUCCAGGCAACAAAACCACUUCCCUUUUGGCAAUUCCUUUAGGUUUGCCAUUUUAUGACUCCUCAGACAGCCCACGUGAAAUUCCUUCUCACACUGAUCACAAAGUAUAAUUGUGCGUGGACCAAAUCCAGAUCUGCUAAAAUCAUAACCUCUGCAUAGCACACAUCCACUAAGUUCUGCUUCUAUGUUUUUGACAAUACGAAUGCAUCUCUUGGUUAUCUGUUCUAUAGGAUC